CGGAGGGCGGGCACCGCGUCCCCCGGCAGGCUGACAGGGGUUCUGUGGGGAGAGAUGAGAUGGCGUCCGGUCGUCAAGUUCUGGAUCAGGACCCUGUGGAGGUCUCAGGGCGGGCGGUGGGGGCCACUGUGUUCUCCAACGCAAGCACGCGGAGAAUGGAUUUUCUUCAGGCCCUGAGGGACAGCGGGCCCUCAGGAACCUUCCCUGAUCUUGGUGGAUCUGGGCCCCAGCUCCCUGGAUCCACCGCAGCCGCAUCUCUGGCCUCCUGGUGGGUUGAGGGACUGCGGACCCAGAGUGCGGACCCGGAAGCGAGAAGGAGACCUGGCGUCAGGGGUCCCCCAUGUCCCUCGAUCUCUAAAGCCUUCUGCCUCAGCGCGCCCCUGACUGGACACCCUGGUUGGACUGGCUUGGCCUAUGCGCCCCAGCGCGUUAGGCACCCACAGCAGGGCCUGGGUGUUCUCUGCCCCCGGUUAACGUGGAAAGGAGGCCGCAAGGACGCAGUGGUCCCUUUUUCUGGCCAGAUUUUCUGGCCAGAUUCGGCCUUCAGAGCGGCCACCUCCGGAGACUCGGCCCUGCCACCCUGGCGCCCGCCCGGACGCCUCGCUGCCUUGGGAGACCCUAGUGUAGACACCCCGGUGAAAACGGGCCUGCCCGGGUCCAGGCUGAGCCAGAGUGCGCCCAGGAGUGUUCCAGUCAGAGCCUCCAGUUCUCGAGUCCCAGCGACCCUCGGUCAGACCUGGAAGCCCUCUGGGAGGAGGAGGAGGCCGGGACUGGGCUGCGCGGACACAGCCCCAGCCACCUUCCUACGGAGAUGGCGGGAUUGCUAAAGUCCUAUUGCAUGCUUUAAGAUGCCUUGCGUUUGGUGAAUUGAAGCCUGAUAUGUCAACAUACUCUCUGUAAACACAGCAGCACAGAGGGCAAAGAAACACUUAUCCAGCACCACAGCUAGGACAAAAGGAAUUAUUUUGACAGUAAAUGGACUUGCAGCUUAAGUUAAGUGCAUUAAUAUUGGGAUGGUAUUAACUAUACAAAAUUGUUUCUAAGCAAAGGUGACCAGAUGUCCUAAUUUGACUGAUUGAUUUGUUUGCUUAGUUAAAUACCCUUGUAAUUUGAUUGUUUAUAGAUGUUUGCCUACUCUUAUUUUUAUCAAUCUGCUAAGUGCUAUGCAUAGAAAAGUAUAUAUUUGAAAUUAACUAUUUUUCAUUACAAUAUUCUAGCUUAUGUGCUUAUUUUUCAUAAACUAUUUAUCUAGUAAUCACCAUGAAAUCAAAUGGUUAUUUGUAGUGGGAUGGUUCUAAAAAUAUUAAUGUGAUAUUUUAUUUCUGAUAGUAUUUAAUAAGACAAGUCCUAAAUUUAAAACCAUGUAUUUCUUUAUAGACAAAUCUUUCUCUUUACUCACCAACUCUUUCUACUCUUUUGUGGUAGAACUUUUUGUCACCAUUUUAUUAGCUCAGAUUGUGAGCAAAGACACAUUAAAAUGGAUAGAGAAGUUGAUGUCACAAUUGCUAAACUGAUUAAAAUAACUGAAUAAUGAUUUUAAUUUACUCAUUUUGGUUAAACCAAAAAUACUUGUCUCUACCAUCAAAAAAAUGCAAAAGUCCAUGUUUUGGAGCAUGUUAAUGAAAUAUAUAAUUUUUAAAAUAAACAACAUCAACAGUUGUCAAAAAUUAAAGCGAUAAAAAUAUAGAUUUCAUCUCUUGGCAGGGUAAAGUCUUCAUGUUAGUUGAAUAGUAAAUGUUACUCUUUCAAAUUAAGAUGUCUCUACCAAAUGGGGCAUUUAAUAAG
ensembl:lncRNA LINC02109 long intergenic non-protein coding RNA 2109